AUUUGCUCAAACCACCUUUGAGUUAUGUAUAUUCAUGUCCAUAAGUCCAUUUCAUAAAGCAUGGGGGGCGGGUGUCCAUCACAGUGUGCUUUGUCUCUCUUUGCCUUUUAGACCACCUUGUUUAACAGGAGGAUGGGGAGGAAACGCAUACAGGAAGUGGCAUGACCAGUUGAUGAGGAAGGCAUCUCCCAUGGACCCGAUGACUGCCCUGGAGCAGAAUAGGAAUCAAACUUGUAAAUGAAGUUAACUUCCAACCCUUCCCUGUGUAUUUGGCUUGUGGAAUUGGCCUGAAACAACACUCUGACUCUGAGAUCUAUUAACAAGUACCUGGGCAGGUAAAAGUGUUCUCCAACAGAUUUCUCUGUGUUGCCUUUUUGGAUAUCUGAUUUGUGUCCAUUAAUUCUAACCCAUAAAGACUGUCCAAUUUGCCCAAUAUACAUGGCAGUGGGGCAUUGCUGGCACAGAUCACAUGUGAAGUUAAAGGAGCCCCUGAUGUAGCAGCUGAUGUUGUUGGAUCCAGUGAUGAAAUCGCUUGUGUGGACAGAGUUGGCACCAGGGCUGAUCACACGGAUGGAUUCCUGGAUGAUUAUGAUGGAGGUGCCGAGUUGAGGAUCCCUAAACAGCAGAGCUUUGCUCUGGAAUCCUUCACCGAGUGAAGAAUUUCAUUGGUAUUGGUUGCAAACAGUUUCUGGCCAUCAAACGGAAGAUCCUCCACCGUAGCUUGGAUUUCUCUAAGAAAAGGAGUAGUGUUAAACCAUGAAGCCCUUCUCAUCACUACUGCUGUUGCUGUAGAUCGUGCAGCUGUAUCAG